UGGGGAAUAUUGCACAAUGGGGGAAACCCUGAUGCAGCGACGCCGCGUGAACGAAGAAGGUAUUCGUAUCGUAAAGUUCUGUCCUAUGGGAAGAUAAUGACAGUACCAUAGAAGAAAGCUCCGGCUAAAUACGUGCCAGCAGCCGCGGUAAUACGUAUGGAGCGAGCGUUGUCCGGAAUUAUUGGGCGUAAAGGGUACGCAGGCGGUUUAAUAAGUAGAAUGUUAAAGAUCGGGGCUCAACCCCGUAAAGCAUUGGAAACUGAUAACCUUGAGUAGUGGAGAGGAAAGUGGAAUUCCUAGUGUAGUGGUGAAAUACGUAGAUAUUAGGAGGAAUACCAGUAGCGAAGGCGACUUUCUGGACACAAACUGACGCUGAGGUACGAAAGCGUGGGGAGCAAACAGG
rnacentral:rRNA from 1 species